rnacentral:rRNA from 1 species
ACUGGCAGCGUGGAUUAGGCAUGCAAGUCGAACGGGAUCGUCUGGAUAGCAAUAUUCGGGCGUGAGAGUGGCGGAUGGGGAGGAGCACGUGAGCAACCUGCCCUGGAGAUGUGGAAAACCUCUGGAAACGGAGGCUAAUACAGAAUGUGGCGCCCCAUGGCAUCAUGGGAGCGCCGAAGGGGGCCGCAAGGCUCCCGCUCCGGGAUGGGCUCGCGCACCAUCAGCUAGUUGGCGGGUAACGGCCCACCAAGGCCUACGGUUAGCUGGUCUGAGAGGAUGACCAGCCCCACUGGGACUGAGAUACUGCCCAGACUCCUACGGGAGGCUGCAGUCGAGGAUCGUUCGCAAUGGACGGAAGUCUGACGAUGCGACGCUGCGUGGAGGAAUGAAGGCCUUCGGGUCGUAAACUCCUGUCAUGAGGGAAGAGGCGAGGGAAGCUAAUACCUUCUUUAGUUGACUGUACCUCAAGAGGAAGCGACGGCUAACUCUGUGCCAGCCGCAGC